rnacentral:tRNA from 1 species
GAGAGGGGCUCGACAGCAGGAAAAGCUGCUAACUUUUCUACCCUCGGUUAAACCCCGGGGCCCAUUCG